rnacentral:lncRNA from 1 species
GAUUAGGUUGACAUAAUUGUGAUCUGAAAAUAUAUAAACAUUUUUUUUAUAACUUUGUAACUUCUGGUAGGUAAGGGAUGUAUAUGGUAUGCCAUUGUUUGUCCAUCCAUCCUUUAAAAUCAUUAUGGCAACACUUUGUUCAAUAUCUCAAAGUAGUAGGGGCUAACUAAAAAAGGUUUUUAUUUGGCCCAGAUAUUACUGCUAAUUUAACAGUUAUCCUAAAUAUUUCAAAAUUUGUCCAAACUAGACUAAGGUACACCAUAUUCAGAAAAUAAUGGGUUUUUUUUUACAACUAAAGAGUUACCAUGGC